AGACAGCAGUAGGCAUGCGCGAGCUUCGGGUUGGAAGUACGCAUGCUCGAGCGUCGAGAAGGUAGUACGCAUGCGCGACGUUAUACACGGUAGUACGCGUGCGCGAUAUUAUGGACGGCGGUACGCAUGCGCGAGGUUCGAGACGGCAGCACGCAUGCGCGGCAAUAUGUACAGCAGUGGCAGCAGAUACCGUGGAAACAACUCCGCCGCCGCCUUUUAGCGGACUGCCUGGGACUGUGGGCGCGCAUCCCCUUCUCUCUUUCUUUUCUUGGCACAGGAAGGUGGGGGGAAGAAGGGGAGACGACAAAGAAAAGCAAGGAAAACUCCGACAAACCCUCCAACCCCGUGCUAAAUGCUUUGGUAUACCUGUAAAUAAAUGAAUACAUAAC
rnacentral:lncRNA from 7 species